UGCUUACACAUGCAAGUCGAACGAUGAAGCCUUCGGGUGGAUUAGUGGCGAACGGGUGAGUAACACGUGGGCAAUCUGCCCUGCACUCUGGGACAAGCCCUGGAAACGGGGUCUAAUACCGGAUAACACUGUCCCCCUCCUGGGGGACGGUUGAAAGCUCCGGCGGUGCAGGAUGAGCCCGCGGCCUAUCAGCUUGUUGGUGGGGUAAUGGCCUACCAAGGCGACGACGGGUAGCCGGCCUGAGAGGGCGACCGGCCACACUGGGACUGAGACACGGCCCAGACUCCUACGGGAGGCAGCAGUGGGGAAUAUUGCACAAUGGGCGAAAGCCUGAUGCAGCGACGCCGCGUGAGGGAUGACGGCCUUCGGGUUGUAAACCUCUUUCAGCAGGGAAGAAGCGAAAGUGACGGUACCUGCAGAAGAAGCGCCGGCUAACUACGUGCCAGCACG
rnacentral:rRNA from 1 species